AACCUCCGCAAUGUGAGAAAUCGCGACGGGGGGAUCCCAAGUGCCAUUCUUAACGGGAUGGCUUUUCAUUAGUGUAAAGAGCUUUUGGAAUAAGAGCUGGGCAAGACCGGUGCCAGCCGCCGCGGUAACACCGGCAGCUCUAGUGGUAACAAUUUUUAUUGGGCCUAAAGCGUCCGUAGCCGGUUUAAUAAGUCUCUGGUGAAAUCCUGUAGCUUAACUGUGGGAAUUGCUGGAGAUACUAUUAGACUUGAGACCGGGAGAGGUUAGAGGUACUCCCAGGGUAGAGGUGAAAUUCUGUAAUCCUGGGAGGACCGCUGUUGCGAAGGCGUCUAACUGGAACGGUUCUGACGGUGAGGGACGAAAGUUAGGGGCGCGAACCGGAUUAGAUACCCGGGUAGUCCUAACUGUAAACGAUGCGGACUUGGUGUUGGGGUGGCUUUGAGCUGCUCCAGUGCCGAAGGGAAGCUGUUAAGUCCGCCGCCUGGGAAGUACGGUCGCAAGACUGAAACUUAAGGAAUU
rnacentral:rRNA from 1 species